CUAUAACAGGCAUUCUUCAUGGAGACAACUGUGUCUGCUGUCUGUAUGUGUGUGAGUUGUACACUUCAAUCUUGUUUUUCAUUUUAUAACCAGAUUUACUCUGCCUCCAGGGAGUACUUGCUAAGGAAGGUAACAUAUGUUUUUAAUAAGUUGAAAGAAAAAGGAACAGUGUUGGGAGACAAAGGGAGAUAACAUACUGAAAGCACUGGGAGUGAUGCAUUGAAGAGGAAUCCCUGUGGAGCUGAUAGCUGUGGACUAAUGACUGGUAUAACAAGCAGGUAACCUGAAGCUUGAGUGGUUACAUGCAUAUUGGAUUCCACACCUUGGCAGAGGAUUAUUUCAGUAUAUGUUCCAGGACAGCUCAGCACUUAAGACUUACAAGGAGAAAAAAAAAUGAUUCUGCAAUAAUUUGUUUGGAUGUCUUGAAGGUUUCAAGGAUUGCUUAUAGUUCUCAAGGGGCAGGACAAGCAAAUUGAUUGGGAAGAAACUAGGUUUCAAGUCUUUGCUUGUCUAGACAUAAAGCCUCUUUCACUAAAAAGAAGAAUGGGGGAAGACAAGAAAUUAUUUUAAAAGAAGAAUUUCAUUCAUUUGUGCAUUACGGUAAUUAUACCGCUGUCUUAAACGCUUGGAGGUGGAUGGUGUUUGUGACCUCUCUGGUAUGUUUCAUAUGUUUCAUGCAAACCUUCCACUGUCCUGAAACAGAAGUGGGCCCCCUAUCUAUUAAAGCUGUCUUGGGCAAGUCAGCAAACUCUGUAAUGGAUCCUUUAUAUCCCCCUAAACAUACCUAAUAGUGUAGGGCUCAUUCCAAUGAAAUGGGGGAAGUUCCUACAGUCUGACUACUUCUUGUUGAAACAGCUUGAUUUAAAAGCUGACAAUAAAAUAGAUUGUGCAUUUUGUUAGCAGGGCUCAGCCCUGUAACCACAUUAAUGAAACAAUAGUUGUAUCAGGGAUGUAAGAUGACUUUUAAAGAUGUCCCUUCAGCCUCUCUAAUAUGUGAAUUCAGAGGAGGAAAAAAAAAAAAAAAGUGUUUGUUUCAAGUUUUAAUUUUCCCCAGCAGCAUAUAAUGAUUUACUGCCUUUAUCUGUCUUUCAGGUUCAUGUUCAUUGCCUCAGAUGCAGCUACAAGUCAGUAUUUUAGCUGACAUUUUUCUUGCCUGCUGAACUGACAGAGCCUAUCAGGGUAAUUCAGGUAAGGUAAGUCCGUUAAUCAAAUGCAAAAUUAUUAGAGAAAAAUGCAUUUGUUAGUGCUUUUUCCUGAAUACUUCCCUGAUUUUGGAAUUUGCGUGCCCCAUACAGUGGCCUUCCUAGUUACAUUGCAUGUACUGCAAUUUCACAGAGGUGCUCCAGAGAUCUUGUCCCAGAGAUCUUGGUCAGAGGGAAACCAUAAAUUCCAGCCCCAGUGGUAACCCACUGCUGCUACUCUCCUGCUCCAAAAUACUGCUGCAGGUGGCUGAGGAUCCCACACAACACAUAACUGGGCAGCUUUGGGAUGUAUCCCCAGGUGGUGCACUGGUCACACCCUGUGGGCUACAUUGCUGAUGCUCAGCAGUUUCUAGCUGUAUGGAAGCACUUGAACAGCAUCCUCUUAUCUUAGAAAAGAGAAAUAUUAAUUGCAAUGACUGUGCAAAUAAAGAUAAUGCAUUAAAAGAAAAAGUAA